UGCCCCUCCCACUUCGUUCCCCUUCAUGGAAUGUAGCUCAGUUGUUUCUUCGUCCUAAACCAAAGCGAUCAUGGCCGUUUGAGACUGAAAAGCCCUAUACGGAUUGACCAUGCAAAGCAUGCUUCCAGCUAGGUUGAAGACGAAGUGCAUAGUUGGGUGCCAGACUGAUCCCGUGGUCAUGAACGGAUGCUGGAACCUACCAGAAGGAGCAAAGCUUGUCAGGCAAGACCUCAGAAUAAGUGUGUUUCACAACAAGUACUCUUGUGACACCUCAUCCAUUGUUGCCAGUCUCCCUCAACUCUAAUGAAAAGGACACGCCAUCAUGAGGCCUCUGACCGUGACCUGAGUUACUGCCCUGACGACAGAGAUGGCUUCAUCGACAGGCACUUCCAGUCAACACCACCUAAUAAGAUUGGCUGCUGCAGUUGUUUGAGAGAUGUCCAGUUUGCAGCUGAACAUGCAGCAUAGAAAAGACAAGCAAGGGGUCCCUCAUCAGCAUCAUGCAGACAUGCCCUCGCAGUGAGCAUUCCUAUGAAUGGAACAGUCAGCCACAUGUUGUGGCUGACAAGUAUCUAACCAGCAACCUUCACCUGUCCGCGGCAAAAGCUUUCACAGGAUCAUCAUUUGUACAAAUACAAACAUUUCAUUAUUUUGAUACAUUUGAUAACCCAAUUGUGAAACAAUUAUGUAAACUGACAGUUGUUGCUUAUUUUCUACUUCUUAGUUGCGUAUAAUGUCCAGGGCAUAACCUAGCCCGGUUGAACCAGCCUGAUCCCUGUGUUCACCAUUCUAUUUCACUUCAAAUUUUAUAUCUAAAGUGAAAUAGAAAAGGUGAAUGGAGCAAUCAGGAUAUUUCCACCAAGUUAAUCAUAACCACCAUUGAUAAUGUAAUCAGUGCUGUGUGUGUGACCGACCAGUAUCUGUGAGGGGCCAGGAGCUGAUCUACGCUACUAUGUCCAUCAAUGGGGCUCUGGCAAAGACCUCACCUCCAGCCUCACAUCUUGCCUGCUCACCAACAGUCUAUGAUGGGGAGAACAGAAUUAGGUUUAGGCUGACCUGUUCAAACUUCAACAUAGGUGAGAUCUGACACACAUCCCCCUCUUCAAAAGGGGGAGACACUCUAGAUCCAAACUGCUACAGACAUAGCUAUUCUAC